rnacentral:rRNA from 1 species
GACGAACGCUGGCGGCGUGCUUAACACAUGCAAGUCGAACGAUGAAGCCGGAGCUUGCUCUGGUGAAUUAGUGGCGAACGGGUGAGUAACACGUGAGUAACCUGCCCUUGACUCUGGGAUAACUGCGGGAAACUGUAGCUAAUACCGGAUACGACCCUCGGGGGCAUCUCCUGGGGGUGGAAAGAAUUUCGGUCAAGGAUGGACUCGCGGCCUAUCAGCUAGUUGGUGAGGUAAAGGCUCACCAAGGCGACGACGGGUAGCCGGCCUGAGAGGGAGACCGGCCACACUGGGACUGAGGCACGGCCCAGGCUCCUACGGGAGGCAGCAGUGGGGAAUAUUGCACAAUGGGCGCAAGCCUGAUGCAGCAACGCCGCGUGAGGGAUGACGGCCUUCGGGUUGUAAACCUCUUUUAGCAGGGAAGAAGCGAAAGUGACGGUACCUGCAGAAAAAGCACCGGCUAACUACGUGCCAGCAGCCGCCGUAA